UACGUAGGGGGCAAGCGUUGUCCGGAAUCAUUGGGCGUAAAGCGCGCGUAGGCGGUCCGGUAAGUCCGCUGUGAAAGUCAAAGGCUCAACCUUUGAAUGCCGGUGGAUACUGUCGGGCUAGAGUCCGGAAGAGGCGAGUGGAAUUCCUGGUGUAGCGGUGGAAUGCGCAGAUAUCAGGAGGAACACCAAUAGCGAAGGCAGCUCGCUGGGACGGUACUGACGCUCAGGCGCGAAAGCGUGGGGAGCAAACAGG
rnacentral:rRNA from 1 species